AUGGAUCGGGUCUUCCACCGGGUC
rnacentral:siRNA from 1 species